rnacentral:lncRNA from 1 species
AUGAAUCUCCAAAAUAAUCAUGCACUAUUUUUUUUUCUAUCAGGAAAAGGAUUUGCCAGUCUAUUUUCCUUCUCCACAGAGCUAGCCAUUAUUUAAAAAGGAAGAAACCUUCAAUUCUUUGCUCCCUCUGGGGUACCGUGCAUCAUUCUUCUGAGGGUAUUUUUAGCCUACAACAAAGUUGUCUUUAUUCUGCAGUUCCUUAAUCCCUUUUUCUUCUGAUACUCUGGGAAACAAAACAGUAGCUGUUCUCAGAGGAAUGCCUAGAGAAUUACAUUAAUUCAGAAAACAAGAGAUUCACCAUGUAGUUCUGUGAUCUAAAUGGAAUGAGAAGGUCACACUGUACCUAUUCUUAAAUUGCAUCGUUUGCUUCUCCCAUUGUUACUUGCAUUUUAUGCAGACUCUUACUUGUGCCAGUUAGCUACAAAUUUGGGACUGUAGUCAGUCCACUGCUCCUCCAGAUAAAUCUGAGGCAAAAUCUACUGCAUUAGCUCUAAUAGAGUCCUUUGCAAGCUUGACCUAACCUGGUCAGGAUCUGUUCUGAUUGAAUUGUAAAGCCUGUUAUGUCUCUUGCUGUACAUUUCUCUUGCUGCUAAAGUCUUCAUGUUUAGUCGGAUAUACUAAUUCUUCCAAGAUCCUGGCCGUCUCAGCCCUACCAUCGGUCUACCCUUUGAGGUGUUUGGGAUUUAACAAAAAUGAACUACUUCUCUUGCCCAUGGAUUACCGGCAUGACAACAAGGCUCAUUAUUUUCAGAAGCUUGUGACUAUGUGGGAGAAUUUAUAUGUACUUCUGUGUGAUGAAGAAUUGGAUGCAGUCUCUUUGGAAGCUGUGCACCAACAAAAGAUGAAGAAUAGACAAGCCCACUCUUCAUCAGAGAGAGAACUAAAAUAAUGAAGACCAGAACUAGACAAGUUAUCAAGACGUACUAAUUCCUUAGUUGAUAAAGAACCUGCAUGAGACAGUGAUACAUCAGAGAGAGAAAAACUUUAAGCACUGAGAGGGGACAAACUGAUGGAUUCCAUGGUAAAGUUUCCUGACACAAUUCACCUCCAGAAACGUUAAUGUUACUUAGUAGAAAAAAAUAAAAAUCUCCAUGUUUAAAAAUAAAGAUUCAACUUAAACGACCCUAUUAAUCAUGAAGAAAAUUGUCUUUAAAAUGGAAGUGUAUUAACCUCUGUGAGGUCCAGAGAAUACCUGGGGCCCAUAUAACAUAAGUCAGAAUUUUUUAACAUUAUAAACCAAGAUUAGUUAUUAAAAAUAUGUUUUAUCUUUUUACCCUGACAAAUAUGUCAGUAGAAGUCUUGAAACUGAGCACAAGUGUAGACAGAUCGCCACUCAGAAAUGGUGAUGCAAGGACCGCUGGUUUGCACCUCCU